CAGGAAGAGGCAUGCAGGGGGAGAAAACCUCUCAUCGAUGUUUUCAAGCAGUGGAACUGCCCCGUGAGAGUAGCAUGUGCUAAAUGAAAGGCUAGAGUGACAUGCUUGCUUAUGUUGAGUAAGCGCUUUGAUCCCGUUGAUUUUAGUGUACUGAUGCGCGCUCAUGCUAUUUUACUCCUUGAGGUACUUGAAAUGCCUGGUUUCAGUGAAUCAAUUGAGGAGUAAUCCUGCUUAACACGAGGAGCAGCGGUAUCAGAAGACAGCAAGGCUGUUUAUGUAAAUUCAGGUGGUCUCAAAGUAUUGGGUUUCUGUCCUUUACCAGUGACUUCAGUGUUACUUAUAACUGUAAGGAGGUUUAAGCAUUUGUUUUCAUGUGGGCAAAAUCUAUCAUUGACUCCCUUGUAAGACAAAUGGCUGUUCAGAAGCUUGCAAAGUAACGGUUUCACACUAGCUGUCCAAACGUUGUAAAAGCCCUGUGACUGUACGGGGUGUGUGACAGGCAGGAAGACUUAAAGAUUUUCCUUAUGACUGGAGGGUCUCAAGCCUGAUCUGAAAUAAAGGCUGUGUGUAAAGGACUUUCAGAACACAUACAAAGCAACUGAAAAACAAAGGUGGGUGAUGAUCUGUGGGACUUCCCUUGUGCAGGUGUGAUGUAGUUGCACCCAGAGAUGCGCUGGGGUGGCAAGUGAUGCUGUCCUUCCCUUCCAAGUCAGGAGCCAAACUAGCAAGAGGCUCCCGUGAGCCCCUACAGCAUGUCACAGGGCAAGCGUGCUGCUCCACAGGGAGGAGAGGGUUUUGCCUGAAAGGAUAAACACGCCAUCACCAAGGCUAGUGAAAAUGUCAAUUCAGUGUCAUACAGGUUAGCCCAGGCACCGUCCAUCAGCGUGCCUGCAGCUUUUGAAGUCUUAAUUUAUGUUCCAAGCCCCAAACAGCUAAGAUCAGCUCAUGGGAAAGAAUACAGUGGUGUUCCAGUUAGUGGCGUUGUUUAACAACCUCAUUUACAAGGGACUUGGAGAUGGUCCGGUGGGAUAGCCCACGUGCAUGUGCCUGAGGACAGGCAGCCCGAGCUGCCCCCUGAGCUCAGCAGGACUGUCCUACAACUCUCCCCUGCCCAAAACAUACACACUCCCUCCCAAUAAUUGUUUUAUUCAGAUGUUGCCGUGACAUCGGCCAAAAAAUCCAAGGGCCUUUGAGAGACACUGAUAUUGUAGGUGGCUAAGUAUGUUAAAAGUGCAUUUGGCUACUGCCCUGUGUCAGAGCUAUUCCUUUUCCUCUACCUAGUGUUGCAUUGCUACUCUGGAGGCUCCGAUCAUAUCAUGAUUUGUGUGUGAAGAGCUGCUAGUCUCAGGGGAACUCUUCAGAAGGGAAUAAUUUCUUAUUAAAGGGGAGAUUGAAAGUCGUUUUUGGAUAUUACACAUUGAACAGUCAAUAUGUAAUGCACAUUAAACUUGCCAGUCCCAAGUCUAUUACUAAUUUUCCAAAAAGGAAAUUGUGGUUUCUUUGCUGCUUCUCUGCUUGGCAAUUUCCUAAUUUUAUUCAUUUCCUAGAUCGUCAGUUCAGCGUUUGAGGGUUUUACAACCUCUAGAAUCUCUUGUGGAGCAGGAGCACAGCAUUUCAUCAUUGUAACAUUUGCCUUCCCCCUUUCCCCAGAGAAGUUCUGAUCCUGUCACCGGAGCUUUACCUGGGUGGACAGAUGCUUCCCAAGGUGCCAUCAGCUUUUCCCCCAGCUGGAGGCAACAUAAAGAUUUUCCAGUGCUUAUCGUCUUUUUCUGGGAAGGUCUCAUUUGAAGUUAGAUCGCUGUAGACAUUUUUCCCUCUGCAGUGUAAGAACUUGCUGCCUUUGAAGUCUUUGGCUUUGCCAUGUCCUCCCAGCUGAUGGCACAUCUUCAUCUCUGUAGGUCUGGACCACUGUGAGCUGCACUCGUAUUUCUGCAUGCUGAGGAGUGGAGAUGGCACCAGAGCACCCAACCUCCUGCCGUCACUGUCUCACAGGUCUGCACGGAGGGUUAACUAAGCAAUUUUCUAACAGCAACGAGUGAGAAAGUUGAUGAGAUAUGUCCUGCGUCCUGUAUACGUGUGUUGUUAUAACAGAAGUGCUGCUUGUCUGCAGUGCUGGUGCAGACAGAAGGUCAUGGCUGAAUCCACACCCGUUCCCUUCUCCUGAGGAUAAGGCACAAGAUGACUAAUAAAAAGCUGUAUCACCCACUUUUCGGAGCUCCAGCUUGCACCUUCUCAAAAAACCCGUACAGCUUAAUAAUUUAUUGCACGUUUUCCCAGACCUCACCAGCAUUUCCCCUGCUGUGGCAGAAUGGACCAGGUGGUGCUCAGCCCCUGGGUGGUUGGGGCUUUGGGCCCCUCCCAGGUGACCACCCCCAGACCUCCCUGUCCUGGAGGGGAGACAGCGCUCGGGGUGAGGCGCUGCCAUAGCUGUGCUGCACACCUCGGUGUUCACAGGGCACGCACACCUGCCCCCGCGCCUUUGGGUUUAAUUCCUGCGCGGCAGCAAGACCAGGGCUGCACUACAGUCAUUUAAAGAUGAGGAAAAAUAUUGUCACAUGCAUAUGUAUUUUUAACUGGGCAUCAAUUCACUUUUUGGGAUCAAAAUGGGUUUCCGACCCAAUGUUUCGGUGCUGGGCUUGGCUCAGGCUGGCCUGGGAGCCCCAGCUGGCGUGUGCGGUUCCGGCAUCCUCAGCUGACAGCAGGAGGCCAUUUGCAUGUUUUGCUCUUGUUCCUUGCGUCUUCGUGCCUGGAAAGCAGAUAAUUUUCUGGGAGAUGGGGUUUCUCUUGCCCCGAAAGCUGUGCUGCUGCUGCACGUCGGAUGGGUUGCCAGAGGUGGAUUGACGAGAGAUGCUGUGCAACCAUCCUGUAUGUCAAGUGCUGGUAUUGAUCACAGAGUUCUCGUGAUCCAUGUUAAAUUGGCUUUGGCAGAUGCUGAUGUCUAUAUAAAAAAGAGAAAAUACAGCCACAGCCUGCUUCAAAGAGGGACUUUGGUGGUGUUGGCUUUUCUGCCCAGGGGACUUCUCCGGCAGCCUCCGGUGGCCCUUUAUGGUUCAGUUACACAUUGCCACCAGGACGAUGCUGUGCUGCUGUUGAGAUCUUUCCUGCAGUGUACAUGCUCUGCCACUUGCCAUGUGCUCCAGGGAAUGCAGGCACCACUAAUGACCAAUUAAAAACCGUAAUUAACUGGAGCAAACCCAUGAGAAAUUGCAAGGCAGCAGAAACGCAGCUCCCAGCCACCUGGAAGAGCAUCUCCCCCCACACUUGCACCCUGCGGGCUGGCCUGAGAAGGGGGCUGACACAGGCAACAUCAUGGCUUUUUGUUGCUGUUUGCUCUCCAACAUAAAGGGUGAAUUCCCUGUUUUCAUCCAGACAAGGAAAUCUGAAGCGAAAUCUGAGGCCUGAAAGCGGUGACAUUGCCCCAGCUGUGGCUCGGGAGGAGUUGCCUGUACCACAGAUACACCCUGGAGAAGAGGCGUGAGAUGUGCCUGCCUCCUGUCCGGAGAGCUGGGGGUGCUGGGGAGCAUCCUGCUCCAGCUGGACCACCCCACUGCUGCCCUGCCUGGGCAGCCAGGGCCAAAGCACCACAGCUCGUAAAACACAGCAGAAAUACAGUUGGCUUCAGCAGAUGGGAACUGCUUCUUCGGAAAAAGCUGGUUAAACCAUAUUGUCCCUAGUUAAAUUCUAUGUCUAUACAUGUAUGGCUGGAUAUAUAUUUAGUAGACCACAUUGCGUAUCUCUUAUCCAACUAAUUAGUUGGGUGAGAAAAAUACUCCUUUAACUUUGUUGAUUUAAUUCCUGGUUUUCAGGCUAUUGACAAGAGGGUUCACAGGCAUUUUGGGUGAGGCAUGGGAACACAGGAGCUCCUGGGUUUUGGCUGCCUGGCUGCCUUAAAAUCUGCUAGCUGGGCAGAGAGCCCUCAUUAUUUAAAGAAGCAAGUAGGAAUUAAGCAGAUUGGAUACAGGCAACUUGCACAGACCCUCGCUUUCACAGUUAUAGCUGUAGCAUCCUUCCUGCUCUACCAGGCACCAAGCAGGAACCAGCUCUUCUUCCUUUCCAUCUGCUGUCCUGAGGUCAUCCAUCAAACCCUUGCCAUGGUCGUGCUGCUGGGCCAUCAGCUGGUGGGAGCGCGGGGAAGGGCAGGCACGGCUCCUGGGGAGCGCAGGGGGGGUUGCCUGUGCGGAGAGGGGAGGGAGGGCGGCCGGAGCACAGCAGACCAAAUAACAUCAUGGAGAAAUGGGUUUUGGAGGCGUGGAGAAGCACCGAGGGUUGGUUUUCUCCUCUUGGUAUUGGACUUGGGAACCAACUGAGGAAUGUACUGCCCAGUGCAGGAACUGUCAAGCUUUCCAAUUUCAUUUUGUGCUCAGAAAUCAGGGUUUCUGGCAGAGAGCAGAUGCACGUGUGCCUCUGGUGUGGCACGGUGGGAGGCAGUCAUGCAGCCUGCUGGGGAGUGUUUCACGGUGCCUUGCAAACUUUCUUGAAAAAGGCUUAGAGAUGUAAUAUUUGAGAUGGAUUUUCUCUUUUUUUUUUUUUUCUUCACUCGGGGUAGAAUGUGGCAAGUUUAACUCUUGCAAGGCAUUAUCUGCAGGAUCUGUACAAUGUCUGACUCGUGGCAGCUGCAGGGCAGGGCAACAUGCAACCUUUGGAAAAUCCAAGUUUCCCAGUAAUUCCGUUCAUUCCUCCUUUAAACAAACUGAUGGUUAAAAAAAAUCGGUGUCUUUGCAGUGGUUGUCAAACAGCAGCACUCAGGCUUCAUUUGCAGGAAUAGGUGAAUAUUUAUUUCCUAAUUAACAGUUAAUUAUGAAAUCAAAAAGGCUUUUAAAAACUAGGUCUGCUGUAAGUAGGAGGGAGAGCUAUCACUGCUCUGCAUGGAUGGUGGUCACCUUACCCGUGAGGGGCUCAGAGUGUGCCGAAGUCCCCUGGGACCCCCGGCAGGGCUGAAGGGAGGGCAUGGGGAGGGGAGGCACUGCGCUCUGCAUCUGAUGGCGCUGAGAUGUUAAUAGAAAAUAGAUCGUCCUUACCUGAGCUAUAAUUAGCCGACUGAAUUAUAUUAAACCACAGUUAUUUUAAUUUCUGAUAAAAAUUGGAUAAUAAAAAUUUGGUCUUUUUUUAAUGGUGCAUUAUUAUCUUACAGAUAGGGUAAUUCGGCUUAUUAAUUAUUCCAAGAUACCCAGAGCUUCCUUUUUUUAAGAAGAAAAUCCACAUUUCUUUUUUUUUUCCAUAAUCUUGUCUAGGACAGAUUAGUAAAAGUUGCUACUGUAGGUCUUGUGUAACUGUAUUUUGCUGCGAAGUCUCAUUUGGGAUCCCUUGGAGGGGGCAGCAGCCUGUGGCCGCGGGGUGUUGCUGCGGUGGGACCAUGACAGCCCAUGCCGGGGACGGGGAGAACCCACAGCCCCACUGGUCCCAGCCUUAGGCAGGUGCCAAUGCACCCAGUUCAGGUCCUAUGUCUGGAGGAAGGCGCAGCAAGCAUCAUCAGCUGCAUAAAAAAUUUUGGGGCUGAUGUCCAGGCAGAAAUUCACUUCCAUGAGGAGCCACCCGGUCUUAGAUGGUGAGACCAGAGGAAAAUCCUUUUCCCUCUCUGCACAUGGAUUCGUGCACGAGAUGGCUCAUCCAUGGUAGGCAGAUGGUCGCAAGAUUGCUGUUUACUCUGCUAUUUCUUUCUUCUUCUGAAUUGUUUUUAUUUUAGUAUGUGAGCAAGUCAUGACGAAAAAAACCAGGUUAACCCCCAAAUCCUUCUAUCAGAGUGCGUAGAGCCGAGCUGAGCGGUGCGGCAGGCACAGGGCAUGCCUGGGUCAGGGCAGUGGCAGCUCUGCCACAGACCUCCUUUCUUCUCUUUUUUCCAUAAGCAAAUGAUGGAAAUGAGAUUUGGGAUCUUGCUAAAGCACUUGGCUCAAAGAGCAGCUUUCUAGUGAUCUUGUUAUUUGAGGGAGAAAUUGAAUUUUUCUCUAACCAAUAUUAUUCAGAUUAGAUACGCACCUUUUUAUGGACAUAACUUCAGAGUUGUUAUAAAAGAUGAGCAUGCCUGGAAAUCGAAAUGUAAACCAAAGACUGAACUCGGGAAUGCUGCUAAGGAAGCUGUGUGUGUGUGUGCACUGCCUGUAAAUUUUUGGCACUGGAACUGGGUUUUGACAUCAUGGGAGGAGUGCAAAUGACUCAUUUUAAUUUGUUAUUAUACAAAUUUAUAUAAAUCAUAUCACUCCCUGCAAAGCUGCUCAAAAAAGGGAGAGGGUGUUUUUUAGUCAAUCAUCUGCUGUUAUAAAUUGAAGGGAACUUUGUGAAGUGUCUAAAGGCAGAAAUCUAAUGCUCUGACAAGGGAAACCUCGAGUGCACAAAAUGGAUGUGUAACAGAGACCUUAAAGGCGCUUCAGGCCAAAGUGUUUUGAGUUCUGUCUUUGCCGUGAGAAAAACAGUUGCAUGUCAAGCUACAUGAGGAAGUGCUGGAGCUGGAAGUUACAGCUGUGCUGGCGUGGUGCUUGGGAUGCCCUGGCGAUGAGAAGUGAUGUGCACAGCAGGCUGUCAGACAGCAAAUACAAAACCAGCAAAAAAUCCCAAACCCCAACCUCACGUGACAUUAGCUCCAAGCAAAACAUGCUUCAUCAGCUCAGCAACUUUCAUUACCUAUUGGUAAUGAUCUCUCUUCAGUCACAGGGAGACAGAGGACAAAUUAAAAUAUAAAAAUUACUGAGCAUGUUAUACAUUUCAGACAUUGAGUGCGGUAUGUAAUUUAGGCAGAAUCCGGCUCAGAAAUAUCCCUUGUACAGCUAAUAUCCACACGCUGGCUCUCUGCGACCACUCGCUCCUCUGCCCAGCCCCUCGGAGCGUGUAACUCUAACAGAUUAUGGCAGCUUCAGCAUCUUCCCAGUCAAAAAAGUGCGUGUUUCUUUUCAUAUGCCAAAAUAUUUGACAUAAAUGCGGAUUCGAAAAGCACAAAUGUAGCAACAGGACAAGAAUCUUUCCCAAUAUUUACUUGUGAUCACUGCGAGGCGAUGCUGGUUCUGCGUGGUGGGAUGGUGGACGUCAGGAACUGCACGUGGAAAGGUCUUGUGGUGCAAAGAAGUAAUUUUGCGAGUUAAUUUGGUGAAAUCCAGGGUUGUUUGCACUGGGAUGAAAGCUGUCCCCGGCUCUCCCCCCGGUGUGGAGCUGUUGUUUUGGGGGCAUGCUUUAAAAUUGAUGGACUCUUGCCCAAAACCCAGGAGUAUUUUCCUGCAGUGCAAUUACUCCUCAGGUUAAAUCCUGCAAGUAGUAGGAGAUUUUUUUAUUUAAUCUCGAUCCUUAGGAAGGACCAUUGAUCAUCCGGUCUGACCUUUCUUCAUCCCAGGCCAUUAAGCCUCACACGGGUGCCUCUGUUGUAAGCCCACAGACAUCAGUUAGACCCGAGUAUUACAGUCCUUGGGAAACUCUGUGCCGCCGGAGUGUGAGGCACCCGUACAGGCAGGGAGCAGGGGAAAUAGGAUACAUGAUCCUACCUGUCCUGAGUCUCCCGGGUUUCACUUUGUACAAUCAGAGAUUUCAUUAAUUUUUACAGCCCUGAUGUGUUUUCUUAAUUUUUGGGGUGGUUGCUUGCUGGAUGUUCAAACUGGCUGCCUCAGUCUUCAGGACCAUUCCUGCCAUGACAGCAAGAAGAGCUGGGGAAGCUGCUGGUGCUACAUGUGGAAAAUUGGAGAGAGUGUGAGCAAGCAAGAGCAGCUAUCGCUUAUGCUCAGGGUAGGAAAAUUAAAAUAGGAUGCAGGAAAUGUGAUGCAAUCUGCCAGUGAAAGUAUUUCUCGGGUGAUCGGCAGAGGUGAGCAAAGAUGCAUGGAAAAGCAAACUUGCCACAAAAAAUAUUCCAGCAAAAGAUGGGUUAAACGCAGAGGAUUCCAAAUUGAAAAGAAGGAAAAAAAAAAAAAAAGAUAAUUUGGGGUGAAACUUAGGGAAAUGGAUAAGAAAGUGGGUAUACAUGAGAACAUGGAGGAAUUGUUAGCAAGUCACUGGAUUCAUAUGAAGAAACACAAACCCAAGGAGGGGUGAGCAGCCAGGUGCUGUCCUCACCUGCCCGGCUCCCCCCUGCCCUCCCCAGCUCAGGGCCACGCUCCCGGGGUGGCUGCCGCCGGCACCUUCCUCUUCGUUACCGCUUUAUUAAUAAAUAAGGGAGUGGGGCUUUGCUGCUGCUCUGUGUGCACGUCAAAGCAGGCUUGCUGUAAAUUCAAACCCUGCCAGCUCAGCCUGGCCUUGGGAAUGCAAACUUUGUUCUGCAUCCACUUGCGCCAGCAAUGAGAUCCCUGGCCGAGAAGCUGGCGGGUGUCUGUGCUGGUGGGUGAGGCAGCCAAGGAGGCAGCUGGCCCCACCACAGCAUCCCAGCCUCACCGCGGGAUCCUGCUGGGAAGCAAAGCACAUUUUUUAACCAGGU